AUUGAACGCUAGCGGGAUGCUUAACACAUGCAAGUCGAACGAGUGGCGGACGGGUGUGUUGUAUAUCGGAACGUCCCCAGUAGCGGGGGAUAACUACUCGAAAGAAGGGCUAAUACCGCAUACUCUUGGAGCGGCCGAUAGCGGAUUAGCUAGUGGGUGGGGUAAAGGCUCACCAAGGCAACGAUCCGGAGCUGUUUUGAGAGGAGGACCAGCCACACUGGGACUGAGACACGGCCCAGACUCCUACGGGAGGCAGCAGUGGGGAAUUUUGCACAAUGGGGGCAACCCUGAUCCAGCCAUCCCGCGUGUAUGAGAAGGCCUUAGGGUUGUAAAGUACUUUUGGUAGGGAGGCGUUAUCUGCAGAAUAAGCACCGGCUAACUACGUGCCAGCAGCCGCGGUAAUAC
rnacentral:rRNA from 1 species